UACGUAGGGUGCAAGCGUUGUCCGGAAUUAUUGGGCGUAAAGAGCUCGUAGGCGGUUUGUCGCGUCUGCUGUGAAAACUCGGGGCUUAACCCUGGGCCUGCAGUGGGUACGGGCAGACUAGAGUGCGGUAGGGGAGACUGGAAUUCCUGGUGUAGCGGUGAAAUGCGCAGAUAUCAGGAGGAACACCGGUGGCGAAGGCGGGUCUCUGGGCCGUAACUGACGCUGAGGAGCGAAAGCGUGGGGAGCAAACAGG
rnacentral:rRNA from 1 species